AUUGUCUCAGGUUGACAUUAAAAACUUGUUUGGUUCAAGGUGAAAUUAGAAUGAGUAAUGGAAUGAGAAUGAAUUGGAAUGAUAAUUGAAAUGACCCAUUCCCCCAAAACGUUUGAUUUAUUUGUGGAUUGAGAAUUGAAAUAAGUUAUUUACAUUUCAUUGUUUGGUUCGUAUAAACUAAAAAAAUUAUAGAAUACUAUAAUACUAAUUUUACUCUCAAAUAUAAAUUUAUAUUAUUUAAAAUUUAUGAAAAAUAUGAUACUAUUAUCUAAUAAGUUUUCAAAAAAAAAAUUAAAUUUAUUUUUAAAAACUUUUAUUGAUUGGGUUAAGGAUAGGGUUUUGAAAGAGAAUAUGUUUUUUUUUUUUUUUUGAUGAGAAAGGGGUGAAGAGAAGGAGGGUGAGAUGGUCACAUGGGCUGCGAAAGCUUAGUGGGCUUCCGGAAUGAAACCUCAAUCCGGGCUAGAAGACCGGAAUCAAGUUGAAGGCUAAUGGGCCAUUCCCAUUCCAGUCCGGAAUAGGAAUCUCAAACCGAUUCAUGCGAACCAAACAAAAUUAACCGGAUUUGAUCAAACCGAUUCCCAUUCCAUACCCAAAAUGGAUGAACCAAACGAGCCCUAAAUAUUUUUUUUUUAUAUAUAUA
rnacentral:lncRNA from 1 species